rnacentral:rRNA from 1 species
UACAGAGGUCCCAAGCGUUGUUCUGAUUCACUGGGCGUAAAGGGUGCGUAGGCGGUCGGGUAAGUCUGAUGUGAAAUCUCACAGCUUAACUGUGAAACUGCAUUGGAUACUAUCCGGCUCGAGGAAUGGAGGGGAGACUGGAAUACUUGGUGUAGCAGUGAAAUGCGUAGAUAUCAAGUGGAACACCAGUGGCGAAGGCGAGUCUCUGGACAUUUCCUGACGCUGAGGCACGAAAGCCAGGGGAGCAAACGGG